AUGGGUUCUAGUCCCAGAUCUGUUUCUUCGUCGGUCAGGCUGGAGGACGAGCGCCCCGUCGUUUCUGGUCUCGGGUUGUCGGAGGGGUCGGGAGAUUCGGAGGCCCGCGACCUCCAAGCGGUGGACUCGGAGCUGCGUCCGGCUGCGGCGGCGGGGGCGGGAUGGGUGCGGCCGCCACCGACCAAGAAGGAGAUGUGGCGGAUGCGGCACGGUCUGGAUGCCCAGGCUGGUGCUUCUGGAGCUCGCGAUGGCAGGGCCUCGCCGCCGCAUCAGGAUGUGCUUCGUGGUGGCCGGACCUCGCCGCCGCGCCAGGAGGUAAUCCCGGAGAUGAAAGACAAGUGCUUCCGGUGCCUCGAGAAGGGCCACUUCAGGCGCGACUGCACCAACCUGGAGGUGUGCAUCAGAUGCGGGCUGCAGGGCCAUGGCUCCCGGGACUGCAAGAGGCCUAGGAGUCCUUCUUCGGCUGACGAGCUCCGGUGGGAGGCCAUCGCCAAGGUGGCCCGCAGGUCCUCCCCGCGUGUUAGCCCCGACCUCCCGCCCCCGCGGGCGCCGAUCCUGCCGCCGCCACCGCCCCCACCACUAACUCUGCGGCAGGCGGACGCCGGCCGGGCGUGGCCACAGCUCGCCCCUCCUCGGCUCCAGGUCACCUUUGACACGGAGGACGGGGCGGCCGGCCUUUGCGUGGUCCGGCGCUCGCAGUCCAUGGAGGAUCUGGAGCGUCGGCUACGAUUUGCCAUGGUGGCCUAUGUGGGCGGUGCUCGGCGCCGGUUGUCGCCGCAGCGGGUGCAUGAAAUCUUGGAAGGAAAGCUGGAUAUCUCGGCGGACCAAGCCUCAGUUCAUCCAUAUCGGCCGGAAGAUUUCUUAGUGGUGUUUGCUUCUGCAGAGAUAAGGAACAGAGUGGCGGCAUGCCCGUCGGUAGAGUUUCAAGGGGACCGGCUGUUAUUCAGGCCAUGGAAUCGGCAAUCGCAAGCGGUCCACUCGGUGAUGGGUUUCAAAGUUUGGUUAGUGCUCGAAGGCAUCCCGCCCCAUGCCUGGGAUCGGGCAACAGCAGAGGAGCUGCUGGGAUCCUCGUGUAAGGUGGAUGUUGUGGCGCCGGAGUCUACCUCGCGGGCGGAUUUGUCUUCCUUCAAGCUUUCUGCGUGGACGGCCGACCCGGAUGAGAUCCCUACGAUGCGUUGGCUAGCAGUUCCGGAGCCUGGUACUGAGGCUCCGCCGCCAUUGUUGCAGUACAAGGUUCUAAUCCAUGUCGAUGCGGUGGCGGACUUCAGGGACGCAGGAGAGCCGCUUUUCCUCGGUGGUUCGUCGGACAGUGGUCAGAGCGGUAUUCCAGACUCAGAUGAGGACUUCGGCGGUGAAUCAAGGCCGCGCAAGCUUGUGUGGACGUUUGGGGUCCGGGAUUCGCGGGGAGGUGGCCAGGGCAGCGGCGCCGCCGGCGUUGGGCAUGGAGGAUCGGUGCGGAGCCGUGUGGCGUCGGAUUGGCGUCUUCCGCCGAUGGACCCGGUUUCGGUCGUCAGCAGGAGUGGGCCAGGCAGGCAGGUGUGCGAGAGGCUAACCACUAGGCAAUCGGCUUUUGACCGGCUCAACGGCCAGCACGACCACUGUGCAGCUGAUAAAGGUUUGGUUCAAACCAAUUUGAAUGGCCAAGGCGCGGCUCAGUCGGGUCAGGUGACAGUUGUGAAGCGGGCCCUCAUGGCCUCCACGAUCGUGGCAAGUGCGUCGCAGCAAGCUGCGGGCCCAGAGAGGGUUCGAGAAGUGCGGCCUGGCAUGACUGGAUCACCAAUCGCAUCUCGUGCUGACACGACAGUGGUACCCGCGCGGGAUGGAUUGGCCAAUAAUGUAUCAAGUGCGUUGGUCCCAUCGUCUGUGCUAGCUGGACCUCAGGUGGUGGGAUCGGCUGCGCAGCGGAUAGCACCAGAUCCCGAGGCAGGAGGAGUGGUUGGAGUGGAGAAGAGCGCUUCUGCCGGCACUGGUGGGUCUAAUGGUGAACAGGAGAUGGAACCCCAGGCGGCGACAGGCCCGGAGCCCGAGGAGGGUGCAUUGGAUGCGUGCACCCUGCUGAUUGUGGGUGGACCACCUGAUGGGAAUCAUGCGGUGGAGCCCUGCAUGGAGGCAGCUGAGAUUUCGAUGGUGGCACCUGCACCGGAGGAAGAGACAGGCUAUUUGCCUCCAACGCUGGGGGCGACCGCGUACUCGUGCAUGCAGAUGAACCCCACUCAUGCUCGUGCGACACAAGUGCUAGGAUCAUUGGAGACCCCGGACGUGGGAGGCGACAGGCAAAUUGUGCAAGGAUCAUUGGAGGUUCCGGACGUGGGAGGCGACAUGCAAACAAUGCAAGGAUCUUUGGGGGCACCGGACGUGGAAGGCGACAUGCAAACAGUGCAAGGAUCAUUGGAGACCCCCGACGUGGUGGGAGGCGGCAUGCAAACUGUGCAAGGGCUAGAUGUGGUGGGAAUGAGGCCACAGGAGGUGGUUGCUUUUGACAAGCUAAAAUGGUUUUGCUCUAGCCUGGUCAAGAAGCUAGCACCACCACUUCUCAAGGAAGUGCAAGCGUCGGGCCUUCGGCCAGAGGCGGAGCCAUUUACACCGCGACGCACCACGCGCGCAACGAAGCGAGCGCCACAGAGCAAGCAAGGAAAGGCUACUCCAGCUGAGAACGCCCUUAUGCAUGCGCUCGGGCUGAUGCCCCAAGAUCUGGAGGUAGACGAGGCAAUAGUGGAUGAGUUGCAGCAGCUCUUUGACUCCCCUCUGCGUACUCAGCAUGUCAGGGUGAUCGCCGCGUUAUUUGGGAAGGAGUUGCCGACUGGGAGUGAGCUGCACAGCGAGGCGGGACUGUCGGUCGUCGCGCACUAA
rnacentral:rRNA from 1 species